GGAGAGCUGGCUGCGGAGCAGGCAAGCGGGGCGGAAGGAAGCCGUCACAUUUUGAAUAGCAACCCUGAGACUCAGAAAGCACCCCAGAUAAACCCAUCCUUCAAGGCCUGCUUCAUGCCUGCCUCCUCCAGGAAGCCAUCUGGGAUGUCGCUGUUGUAUCUGCUGUCCUCCCUGCUCAGAAGAAACCCUGACACCGUGUCUAGAAUGCACCAAAUCUGAUUUCUCCUCCAAGGAAGCAUUUUACUUCUCAGGACUGGGAUGGAACUAGGGCAGUGCUUCGUGCUGGGCGUUUUACUGGAAGGAGAGAUGGAACUGAAAUUCCAAACAGUAUCAACAAUGAAGGUGAUUCCAUGUGGCUUAGAAGAAAGAGUAAAUGAGUCUGGCCCCUUAUGUCUCAUAAUUGAAACAUGUGUAUGGCAGCCAUGGUGGGAAAAAGAGCUGCAGAGACAGAGGCUGUGGAGUUGGAAUUUGACACUUGGCUUCCUUUCCUCUGUGUUGGGACCACUUCUGGGAAGAACAGAGUCCGCUGGUGCCAACCUGCCCAUGACACCAAGCAGGGCCUUAGGGCCCAGUUGCCCUGCACGCCCACCCCUCUCACCCACCCACUGGCUCAGGUGCACACGUGGUCAUCUCCAAGGAACACGCUGCAGCUGGUUGUCUGUCAGACUGACUCUGUCCUAGAGACACCUACCUUCCUCCCAGGGCAAGGAUGCAAAGAGCCUGGUGACAAGUCUGUAAAUGAUGAAGUCAUUUUCUGGUUUCCACCUCCUUUAAUUUUACUUUGUUUGCAAAAACUAGCAGACUUCAUAUGAACAGAACUGUAUGUAGUCCUUCAUGAGGAAUUAAA